UUUCCAUAAAAUAAUAUUUAAUUAUUUUAAAGUUAUUAAUUUGUUAAUUAUUAUUGUUAAAUAUGAAUCAUGUUAAAGUUAAUUGAUUCUGAAGAACAGAAAAAUUGUUAAAUAUGUAUAUUAAAAUUGUGAAGAUUUUUGAAAAUUUCAAAAACAUUCAAAUUUUGAGAAUUGCAUAAUGAUUUCUUUUUUUCAAAAGUAAAUUAAAAAUUUAUAAAUAAUGUGAUAUUAAUCAGUUGCAUUUUACUAUAUAAUAACAAAUCUUUUAUUAAACAGUUCUUACUUAUUAACCAAUAAGUAAAAUGAUUUUUAUGCUCCUUAAAAAACAUCGGAAAAGAAAUUAGAUAUAGGAUUUCUAUUUAUAGUUAGACUGUAAAUAUAUAAAUCUUGUAUUGUGAUCUUCAAAGUGUUAAAAAUAUUAAAAUUAUACUGCAUUAUUUUUGAUAUUUUUUUUUUUUUCUUUUUUCUAAUAUAGAAAGUUGAAUAGAUUUUUGUAUUAGAAGUCUAGUGUGUUUCAGCUUGUAGGAAUAAAAAUUUCCAUGUGCAAGAAAAAUGCUUAGCAUUAUAAUAGAUUACAUUUUUACAUUCUUAUUUUAUUUGAAUUGAAUAUGAUUAUACAAUCAUUGAUAUCAAUGGAACUUUCUUACUACUAUUAGUAAUUCUGCCCUCCAUAUUCCAAUAAGAAAAUUAAAACAUCAAUUAGAAUUAACAAUAUAAUUCAUUGUCAUACAUUUUUAUGCACUUUAAAAUGACUAUCAGAAAUAAGCAGUUAAAUUAUUUAUUUCAUCUGCAAAAAAUAUUUUUAAAAUUAAAAUUUGUAAUCUUAAUGAUAAUAAUUCCAAUGAGCAUAUUAAAUAACAUGGACUAUUCUUUAGUACUUAUUAAAUUUUGCAAUAAUCUAUAGUAUUUAUCAAACAUAUUAUUUUUAAAAACAGCAAAAAAAACUGCAAUCAAAUGUGCCUUUUCAAAUGAAUAAUUUAUAUUUUUAAAUAUGAAUCAUGAAAAACAGACUAUCUUUAUUACUUUUCAAUUUUAUAUCAAUAAAAUAUUUAUGUAAUAUGUGUAAUAUUUUACCAUUACAAUUUUGUAUAAACAUAUUAUUUCAAUGCAGUGUGUCCCUAACUUGUGAUGGAGUUGCGUUCAGAAAUUUCAGUUCAUAUAAUUUCAAAUUCAUCAUAAUUCAUCAUUUUUAUAUAUAUAGCUGCAGUGUUAUAAAUGGAGGUUAUGUUCUCCAGCUACCAGAAGAUGGAAUGUUUAAAUUGCUACACUUCAUUAAAAGUUGAAGUGGCGCUUUCGAUUUGUUUACAGUCCUCGUCGGCUUUCAUUAACAACAGAACUGUGAUUUCUAAAGAAUGCAAUUAAACAUGUAUGCUUAAUUGCGUUCUUUGGGGGUUGUGGUUCUGUUGUUGAUGAAGGCUGACGAGGAUUGUAGUUGGGAUCGAAAGCGCUGCUUUCUU
rnacentral:lncRNA from 1 species